UACUAUGUUUCGUUAAUAAUCAUUUUAUUCCACAGUGGUUUUCCACAUAAAGUUCUAGAUAUACUAUUGAUUAUGACAACUGUAUAUCUAUUAGUCUCGACUAAAUCACGUGCCAGCUGUCGCGGUAAUACGGGAGAGACAAGUGUUAUUCAUCUUUAUUAGGUAUAUAGGGUACCUAGACGGAUUUGAAAAACCUUGAAUAAUAAAGAGGUAAAAUAGUCUUGAGUUUUAUAUGAGAGGAAUAUUAGUACUAACGGAGUAGAGAUGAAAUUCUUUGAUACUGUUGGGCACUGGUAAGGGCGAAGGCAAUCCUUUAUGUUUAAACUGACGUUGAGGGACGAAGGCUCGGGUAGCAAACAGGAUUAGGUACCCUAAUAGUCCGGGCAGUCAAUGAUGAGUGUCAUAGAUUAGCGUGAAGGAAAAAAAGGAGUCCUUUUAAUCUAUAAAUGAAAGUGUAAGCACUCCACCUCAAGAGUAAUGUGGCAACGCAGGAACUGAAAUCAUUAGACCGUUUCUGAAACCAGUAGUGAAGUAUGUUGUUCAAUUCGAUGUUACGCGAAUAAUCUUACCACAAUUUGAAUAUAGAUUAAUCUAUACAGGUGCUGCACGGCUGUCUUUAGUUAAUGUCGUGAGAUGAAGGUUAGCUCCAACUAAUUAACGUAAACCCUUACUUUAUUUUUUUUUUUCAUAAAGUAGUUCUUUGAUACACAAGAUAAGAUAAAAGGGAUCAAGGCAAGCACUCGCGACCCU
rnacentral:rRNA from 1 species